rnacentral:rRNA from 1 species
AUAGCGGAGGAAAAGAAACCAACAGGGAUUGCCUCAGUAACGGCGAGUGAAGCGGCAAGAGCUCAAAUUUGAAAGCUGGCUCCUUCGGGGUCCGCAUUGUAAUUUGCAGAGGAUGCUUCGGGAGCGGCCCCCAUCUAAGUGCCCUGGAACGGGCCGUCAUAGAGGGUGAGAAUCCCGUCUGGGAUGGGGUGCCCGCGCCCGUGUGAAGCUCCUUCGACGAGUCGAGUUGUUUGGGAAUGCAGCUCUAAAUGGGUGGUAAAUUUCAUCUAAAGCUAAAUAUUGGCCGGAGACCGAUAGCGCACAAGUAGAGUGAUCGAAAGAUGAAAAGCACUUUGAAAAGAGAGUUAAACAGCACGUGAAAUUGUUGAAAGGGAAGCGCUUGCGACCAGACUCGCUCGCGGGGUUCAGCCGGCCUUCGGGCCGGUGUACUUCCCCGCGGGCGGGCCAGCGUCGGUUUGGGCGGCCGGUCAAAGGCCCUCGGAAUGUAACGCCCCCCGGGGCGUCUUAUAGCCGAGGGUGCCAUGCGGCCAGCCCGGACCGAGGAACGCGCUUCGGCUCGGACGCUGGCAUAAUGGUCGUAAGCGACCCGUCUU